AUUGUGGACAAUGGGCGCAAGCCUGAUCCAGCCAUGCCGCGUGAGUGAAGAAGGCCUUCGGGUUGGAAAGCUCUUUCGGUCGGAAAGAAAUCGCGCAGGCUAAUACCCUGCGCGGAUGACGGUACCGUCCUAAUAUGCACCUGCCAACUACGCGCCAGCCGCCGCAGUAAUACGAAGGGUGCGAGUGUUAAUCGGAAUUAAUGGGCGUAAAGCGUGCGCAGGCAGUUGAUUAAGACAGGCGUGAAAUCCCCGGGCUUAACCUGGGAACUGCGCUUGUGACUGGUCAGCUAGAGUACGGCAGAGAGGGGUGGAAUUCCACGUGUAGCAGUGAAAUGCGUAGAGAUGUGGAGGAACACCGAUGGCGAAGGCAGCCCCCUGGGCCGAUACUGACGCUCAUGCACGAAAGCGUGGGUAGCAAACAGG
rnacentral:rRNA from 1 species